rnacentral:rRNA from 1 species
UACGUAGGGUGCAAGCGUUGUCCGGAAUUAUUGGGCGUAAAGAGCUCGUAGGCGGUUUGUCGCGUCUGCUGUGAAAACUGGAGGCUCAACCUCCAGCCUGCAGUGGGUACGGGCAGACUAGAGUGCGGUAGGGGAGAUUGGAAUUCCUGGUGUAGCGGUGAAAUGCGCAGAUAUCAGGAGGAACACCGGUGGCGAAGGCGGGUCUCUGGGCCGUAACUGACGCUGAGGAGCGAAAGCAUGGGUAGCGAACAGG